AACACUCUAUAAAAGCCCCACCACCCUACCACACGCACACACAAAGCUCUUCUCCUCCUUUCGACCCUGUUCUUCUUCUGCUGGAGUUCCUCCUGGAGAGCUGAUAACCCUCGAGAAAUGCCCCGUGCUUGCCGAUGACGAAGCGCAGAAAGGGAAAAGACAGAGAGAUCGAGAAAACCCUUGUUCUGCUUCUCCUACUACUCUUGUGGAGGCAAGAAGAGAGCUGAUCGAUGGCGACGAGUUAUCCGCAUGCAGCGUCUCCUCCUCCGCAGCAGCAGCAGACAGGUACUGCUGCUGAAUCAAUCCCCAAAGAGAAAGCAGCUGUCGGAGGACGUGGUAGAAAAAAACGAAGGAUCGACCGAAACAUCGGGCAUCGAUCGCUCUGCAGGGAGCAUUUGAUUCGCCACCUCGCUUCUUGGUUAUGGAGAUCGUUCGUUGCUUCUUUCCCCUUCUUUUACAGUGUGAACCAUCUUUUUAAAUCCAUCGGAUUUAAAUGAUUCA